rnacentral:rRNA from 1 species
UGGGGAAUUUUGGACAAUGGGGGAAACCCUGAUCCAGCCAUCCCGCGUGUGCGAUGAAGGCCUUCGGGUUGUAAAGCACUUUUGGCAGGAAAGAAACGUCGCGGGUUAAUACCCCGCGAAACUGACGGUACCUGCAGAAUAAGCACCGGCUAACUACGUGCCAGCAGCCGCGGUAAUACGUAGGGUGCAAGCGUUAAUCGGAAUUACUGGGCGUAAAGCGUGCGCAGGCGGUUCGGAAAGAAAGAUGUGAAAUCCCAGAGCUUAACUUUGGAACUGCAUUUUUAACUACCGGGCUAGAGUGUGUCAGAGGGAGGUGGAAUUCCGCGUGUAGCAGUGAAAUGCGUAGAUAUGCGGAGGAACACCGAUGGCGAAGGCAGCCUCCUGGGAUAACACUGACGCUCAUGCACGAAAGCGUGGGGAGCAAACAGGAUUAGAUACCCUGGUAGUCCACGCCCUAAACGAUGUCAACUAGCUGUUGGGGCCUUCGGGCCUUGGUAGCGCAGCUAACGCGUGAAGUUGACCGCCUGGGGAGUACGGUCGCAAGAUUAAAACUACG